GUUGCAGUUAUGUUGUACGAAGGUUGCAGUUAUGUUGUACGAUGGUUGUCACUAUGUUGUACGAUGGUUGUUAGUAUGUUGUACGAUGGUUGUUAGUAUGUUGUAUGAAGGUUAUAGGUAUGUUGUAUGAAGGUUGUUGUUAUGUUGUAUGAAGGUUGUCGUUAUGUUGUACGAUGGUUGUUGGUAUGUUGUAUGAAGGUUGUAGUUAUGUUGUACGAAGGUUGUCGGUAUGUUGCACGAUGGUUGUUAGUAUGUUCCAUGAAGGUUGUCCGUAUGUUGUAAAAUGGUUGUUAGUAUGUUGUACAACAGUUGGCGGUAUGUUGUACGAAGGUUGUCGUUAUGUUGUACGAUGGUUGUCAAUAUGUUGUACGAAAGUUGUAGUUAUGUUGUACGAAGGUUGCAGUUAUGUUGUACGAUGGUUGUCACUAUGUUGUACGAUGGUUGUUAGUAUGUUGUACGAUGGUUGUUGGUAUGUUGUAUGAAGGUUGUAGUUAUGUUGUACGAAGGUU